rnacentral:rRNA from 1 species
AUAUUGGGCAAUGGGCGCAAGCCUGACCCAGCAAUGCCGCGUGCAGGAGGAAGCCCCUCGGGGUGUAAACUGCUGUCAGGGUUCAGCAAGCAAAGGGUGUGAAUAGCACCCGGCGUUGAGCAGACCCAGAGGAAGCCUCGACUAACUCUGUGCCAGCAGUCGCGGUAAGACAGAGGAGGCAAGCGUUGUUCGGAAUCAUUGGGCUUAAAGCGGGUGUAGGCGGCCUGGCAAGUGUCAUGUGAAAGCCCACGGCUCAACCGUGGAACGGCACGGCAAACUGCCUGGCUUGAGGUCGGUAGAGGUGCCUGGAACUCUGGGUGGAGCGGUGAAAUGCGUAGAUAUCCAGAGGAACGCCAGAGGCGAAAGCGGGGCACUGGGCCGAUUCUGACGCUGAGACCCGAAAGCGUGGGGAGCAAACAGGAUUAGAUACCCUCGUAGUC